AGGACGCAGUCCCACAGAAGCGAAGCACAGCAGGCAGGGCAGGCCCACGGAUGGCAGCAAACUUCAGCCAGGGCUCCAGAUCAUGAGUUGGAUUCUCUGGUGCCUAAUAAAGGGAGAGCUCCAGCUGAAGUUUUUCACACAACGGACGCAUUCAUAACAUCUUCCUGUACAGGAGGAAAGGGACAGGACAAAUGAAGAGGGACAAUGUUGGAACCAAAACAAGGGGCAAGAAUAUGUUGGCCUCUUCAUCUGCUGAUUAUUAAGUUUUCUGGAAGGGCUAAAAGAAAACUGUGGAGCUUCCAGGCCGUUGCUGUUUUCCACGUGGAUGUUACAGCUAUUUUCGAUAAGAAUGUCAUUGCCACUGUAUUGAAUGGAUUUUAUAUGAUGGUAUAAAUAUGUCAAUUAGUAUUUCAAUUAGCAUCUGUGACUAAUCCUGCCCACGCUGGGAAGUUGCAGUGUGCAAGUUUCUUACCCAAGGGUGUGUUUUUGUUCCUUUGUUAUUCAACUCUAACGUCAGCUGGAAACUUGAAUAGUGGGGGAUAGGACAGAAAAUUAUGAGUUUUCUUUUUCAUGGAAGGUGAAGAAUUGGAUAGAAACGUUUCAGCAGAGGGCGAGGUCCCAAUUCUCCUGCACUGUAUGAAAUUCCAUGUUCUAUUGCACAUUGUGCAUCAACUCCCACAGACUUUCUUUUAAAUGGUUGAAUGCUCCAAAGUCUCUAUGAACUUUGUAAAGGACUUUGUCAUACAGCUUUGUUCUCCUGCUCUCUGAGUGACUGCGCAGCUCCUUAAAAGUUUCAUUAAAUGGCUUAUUCUUAACUC
ensembl:lncRNA